rfam:Dipodomys ordii contig_49209, whole genome shotgun sequence.
GGUGGCUCAGUGGUAGAGCUCUUGCCUUGCAUGCAUGAGGCCCUGAGUUUGAUUCCUCAGCACCA